UAAGACGAACCGUACGAACGUUAUUCGGAAUCACUGGGCUUAAAGGGUGCGUAGGCUGUGCGGAAAGUUGGGUGUGAAAUCCCUCGGCUUAACCGAGGAACUGCGCCCAAAACUACCGUGCUCGAGGGAGACAGAGGUGAGCGGAACUUAGGGUGGAGCGGUGAAAUGCGUUGAUAUCCUAAGGAACACCGGUGGCGAAAGCGGCUCACUGGGUCUCUUCUGACGCUGAGGCACGAAAGCUAGGGGAGCGAACGGGAUUAGAUACCCCGGUAGUCCUAGCCGUAAACGAUGAGCACUGGGUUGGAGGGUCCUCCAUAGCCUUCCAGCCGUAGCGAAAGUGUUAAGUGCUCCGCCUGGGGAGUAUGGUCGCAAGGCUG
rnacentral:rRNA from 1 species